UACAGAGGGUGCUAGCGUUGUCCGGAAUCACUGGGCGUAAAGGGCGCGUAGGCGGUCCGGUAAGCGCGGGGUGAAAGCUCGGGGCUCAACCCCGAGUCGGCCGUGCGAACUGCGGGACUGGAGCAGAUCAGAGGCAGGCGGAAUUCCGGGUGUAGCGGUGGAAUGCGUAGAGAUCCGGAAGAACACCAGUGGCGAAGGCGGUUCUCUGGGCAUUACCUGACGCUGAGGAGCGAAAGUGUGGGGAGCGAACAGG
rnacentral:rRNA from 1 species